GGAGGGAGCUCCGUGGUAGAGCACAUGCUUAGCAUGCACGAGGUCCUGGGUUCAGUCCCCAGAACCUCCA
rnacentral:tRNA from 1 species